UAGUCAUAUGCUUGUCUCAAAGAUUAAGCCAUGCAUGUCUAAGUAUAAAUGAAUUUAUAUAGUGAAACUGCGAAUGGCUCAUUAAAUCAGUUAUAGUUUAUUUGAUAGUACCUUACUACUUGGAUAACCGUAGUAAUUCUAGAGCUAAUACAUGCAUCAAACCCGACUUUUCGGAAGGGUUGUAUUUAUUAGAUACAAAACCAAUACACCUUCGGGUGCUAUUUCGGUGAUUCAUAAUAACUUCGCGAAUCGUAUGCCUUCGGGCGACGAUGAUUCAU
rnacentral:rRNA from 1 species